CCUCGCGGGGGUUGGGCCGCGGGGACCCGGCGGCGGUUCCAGCAUCCGUGGGUCUGAGGGUCUGUGAGUCUGUCUGCUCCUGGGCCCGGGGGUACCUCCGCAGGGCCCACCCGUGGCUGUGAUGCGUGAUAGCCUGCCUGGUACGUGGUAGUGGUACUUCAGAGGUGGUCUGGGGACCUAUUGACCCAUAGCCCAGAUGAGUAGGAGCCAGGAGGACAUACGGACCCAUAACCCAGGUGUAUAGAAACCAGAAGGACUACAGAGCCAUCGUUCACAUGAGUAGGACCCAGAAGGUCCUACAGACUCCUAAUGCAGAUAAGGAGGAGCCAAAAAGACCUACAGACCCAUAACCUGGAUGUAUAGAAACCAGAAGGACCUACGGACCCAUAACCCAGACGAGUAGGAGCCAGGGGGACAUACGGACCCAUAACCCAGACGAGAAUUUGCAGGCUCAGUGAAACUGCUCAGGUCUCCCCGCUGAGGCUGACUAUGUGUUCACCCUCCAGACUGCUUGGGAACGAAGGCAAAGAGAAGAACAUUGUCCCGCAAAGCCACGUGCCUCGCUUGCAGUCUGGGAGCUGAGGCACAGCUUCUGACUUUGCUCUGCAGCCCCUGUGUCCCAACCACAACCCAGGACACUGAUCAACCUGAAGCUGCUGGUUUUCUUGUGAUGGGCUCCUGUAUGCGUUCCAAAUACUGUUGAGGCUGCUCUGUGGGUAUUUUUAGUGUGCAUCAGGUGCCAACGAGGAAAACAAAAGCCUCUUCUUCAUGAGCCCACGUCUGCAGUUAUUUCCAGUGCCUGUGUCCUCGUGUGCAUCCUGCAGCCCUUGGGGCUCCGACAGCAGGCACUGAGAAAAACCAAGCUUGGGAAAAAUCUAAAUACUUCCCAAGGAAGAACUUCAGGAAAUGCCCAUCAAACAGCUGAGCAGGGGAUUCCUGAGCAGGUUUCCUGUGCUUCUUUGAAAUGCUGAUAAAAAGCUUCGUGAGAUACCUGCACAGAGGAAUUUCCCAAACAGGGCACUGAAAGCUUCACACCACAAUGUAUGCGUGAUACUGGAGCUCCCACACGUGCUGGGUGUUUGGAUAGCGUUCUUAGACCUGCUGAAACCUGCGUAAUGUAGUAAUUAUGGGCUGCUAGCUGUUGAAAGGACUCGUGAAGCUACUCCAAGGGGCAGCUGUCACCUGGGUCCUUCGGAUCCCAGCUCAUGUUUGCCUCUGCACGUCCUCAGCAUGCAAACAGGGCUGAGGGAAAGCACCCUGCCUCCUCCUGUCCCUGGGUGCAGGAAUGGCAAUGGCCGGCAGCACUGACAUCUGCCUCCUGGUGUGACCCCAAGGAUGUGACUUUGGGACAGAACCAACAUGCAGCCAGGCACCCCUGAAAUGAAGCAGGGUUAUGGGAUCCAGCUCUGGCAUUAGUGUGCAGUCCUGAACAUCUGCACCAACAUUUGUGUGCCCAGCCAUCAUUGCAGCACCUGUACCCAUCUGAGCUGGCGCUGGCUGCAGCAUGAAGCCAGGUGAAGGGGUGGGUUCUUUGGGACUGGCAAAAUAUCCCAUGUGCCUUUCAGUGUUUUCCUCUUUUUUUUUUUUUUUAAUUAUGCUUGGAGCCUCUUCUGAACAGUAAAACCUAAAAAAUAUUUGGGAAAAUAUUAAUGUGUCACUUUUGGAUCUGACAGUGUUUGUUUGUUUGCUUGUUUUUGAGGGUAGCAAUUUACAAAGUCCUGCUUUUGGGUCCUUCCUUCCCCACAUCUCUGCUGGGAACUGCCGGUGCCCCCAUCCCACCACGGGAGCCCUGGGCUGGGAACACAGCAGUGCCUGCUGCUGGGGAGGUAACACUGCGAACCAGCCUGCGCAUCUUGCAGCCUCUACAAUAUUGCCAAACCUUGUAACACAGAACCAGAUCCCUUUCCAAACCAGCCCCUUGCAGCCCUUCCUUCCUCUCCAAACUGCACCAAUCUCCAGCCAGAGCGAGCCUUGGGUCUGCCCUGCUUCACCCACCUCGUCGCUUCUGUCCCUGCCUCGCAUCUCCCCGCAGCGGUGUUCCGACGCCUCGCCUCUCUCCCGCUGGCUGAGAGCAGCGUGGAUUUCCUUCCAGCGUGACGGUUGGGGUCACUCUUUCACAACGAGCGCUUUCCUCCCGGUACGAUCAGCUCAGCGUCGCGUCCCGCUGAC
ensembl:lncRNA